AUUACACUCCUUCCAUCCCAAAAAUUUUGUCUUACAUUUGUAUAGAUACCGAUGUAUCUAAUACUAAAAUGUGACUUGAUACAUCCAUAUGUAGACAAAUCUAAGACAAGAAUUUUAGGACGGAGGUAGUACAUU
rfam:Triticum aestivum genome assembly, contig: Triticum_aestivum_CS42_TGACv1_scaffold_227022_3B